rnacentral:rRNA from 1 species
AUUGAACGCUGGCGGCAUGCCUUACACAUGCAAGUCGAACGGCAGCACGGGAGCAAUCCUGGUGGCGAGUGGCGAACGGGUGAGUAAUAUAUCGGAACGUGCCCAGUAGUGGGGGAUAGCCCGGCGAAAGCCGGAUUAAUACCGCAUGAGACCUGAGGGUGAAAGCGGGGGAUCGCAAGACCUCGCGCUAUUGGAGCGGCCGAUAUCAGAUUAGCUAGUUGGUGGGGUAAAGGCCUACCAAGGCAACGAUCUGUAGUUGGUCUGAGAGGACGACCAGCCACACUGGGACGGAGACACGGCCCAGACUCCUACGGGAGGCAGCAGUGGGGAAUUUUGGACAAUGGGCGCAAGCCUGAUCCAGCAAUGCCGCGUGCAGGAAGAAGGCCUUCGGGUUGUAAACUGCUUUUGUCAGGGAAGAAAUCCUCUGGGUUAAUACCUCGGGGGGAUGACGGUACCUGAAGAAUAAGCACCGGCUAACUACGUGCCAGCAGCCGCGGUAACAC